AGGGAUUGGAGUUUGGGUUGGAUUUGUGGUAUAACAAUUUUAGGGGAGAUUAUGCCCUUUUUUUUUUUUGUGGUUAUUUGACCAUAUUUGUUUUUUUUGUAGGGAAUCAUCGAGACUUUGACGGCUAAAGUUGAGGAUUAGGAAGCUAUCAAAACAUAUCCUCCGCCACUACCACCACAAUACGCUUGUAUUAGGAUUUUAUUAUUGUACUUUGUUAAUUUAUGUGUACAUUUUGAA
rnacentral:lncRNA from 1 species